UGAACGCUAGCGGCAGGCUUAACACAUGCAAGUCGAGGGGGUAGGGGCAGCAAUGCCUGAGACCGGCGCACGGGUGCGUAACGCGUAUGCAAUCUACCUUGUACAGGGGAAGUAGCCCACGAGAAAUUUGGAUUAAUACCUCCAUAGUAUGUGAGAAUCGCAUGGUUUUCACAUUAAAGUUCCAACGGUAAAAGAUGAGCAUGCGUCCCAUUAGCUAGAUGGUAAGGUAACGGCUUACCAUGGCGACGAUGGGUAGGGGUCCUGAGAGGGAGAUCCCCCACACUGGUACUGAGACACGGACCAGACUCCUACGGGAGGCAGCAGUGGGGAAUAUUGCACAAUGGACGAAAGUCUGAUGCAGCAACGCCGCGUGGAGGAUGACACAUUUCGGUGCGUAAACUCCUUUUAUAUGAGAAGAUAAUGACGGUAUUAUAUGAAUAAGCACCGGCUAACUCCGUG
rnacentral:rRNA from 1 species